rnacentral:rRNA from 1 species
GAGUUUGAUCCUGGCUCAGGAUGAACGCUGACAGAAUGCUUAACACAUGCAAGUCGACUGGAAUUCUUCUUCGGAAGAUAGUACGGUGGCGGACGGGUGAGUAACGCGUAAAGAAUUUGCCCUUCAGACUGGGACAACUAACCGAAAGGUUAGCUAAUACCGGAUAUUAUGAGACCUUGGCAUCAAGGACUUAUGAAAGCUAUAUGCGCUGGAGGAGAACUUUGCGUCCCAUUAGGUAGUUGGUAGGGUAAUGGCCUACCAAGCCGACGAUGGGUAGCCGGCCUGAGAGGGUGAACGGCCACAAAGGGACUGAGACACGGCCCUUACUCCUACGGGAGGCAGCAGUGGGGAAUAUUGGACAAUGGACCAAAAGUCUGAUCCAGCAAUUCUGUGUGCACGAUGAAGGUCUUCGGAUUGUAAAGUGCUUUCAGGUGGGAAGAAGAAAGUGACGGUACCACCAGAAGAAGCGACGGCUAAAUACGUGCCAGCAGCCGCGGUAAUACGUAUGUCGCAAGCGUUAUCCGGAAUUAUUGGGCGUAAAGCGAGUCUAGGCGGCUUGUUAAGUCAGAUGUGAAAAUGCGGGGCUCAACUCCGUAUUGCGUUUGAAACUGGCAGGCUAGAGUACUGGAGAGGUGGGCGGAACUACAAGUGUAGAGGUGAAAUUCGUAGAUAUUUGUAGGAAUGCCGAUAGUGAAGACAGCUCACUGGACAGAUACUGACGCUAAAGCUCGAAAGCGUGGGGAGCGAACAGGAUUAGAUACCCUGGUAGUCCACGCCGUAAACGAUGUUCACUGGGUGUAGGGGGUCGAACCUCUGUGCCGAAGCUAACGCGAUAAGUGAACCGCCUGGGGAGUACGCACGCAAGUGUGAAACUCAAAGGAAUUGACGG